AUAUAAAUAUGAAAAUAUAUAUCCGCACGGUUGUGCGGGUGAAAUCUAGUUAAACACUUAAAUUUGAAUUUUAUCACUAAUAAGUUAUAACUUAUAAGUCAUAUAUACAUUUGCAUGAGUUGAAUAACAAGAGAAUCAAACUCUCUUUAAUGUUGGUAGGAGUCUUUACAUGCACUAAACAAGCUAUAAGGGAAACAGUGGAUACAGAAAAGAGCCGCACGAGACAAGACAAGAGAAAGACAUGGACAUAUGCAUUCGAGCAAAGAACAACGCGUUGGCCAUAGCUCGUCUUAAAGCUUUACAUGACUUUAGAGAAAGCAAGGUGACAUUCUUCUUGAUGCUACAGUCUCUGUCCAAAGUUUCAGCAACAGGUACUGAAAUGGAACAUUCUCCAUGGAUUAAAACUCUGCAAUCUUUUGAAAUAUUUUGAAAUGAUUUUUAUUAAGCUUAAUCUUGAGAUUUACAUCAAGAUUCAAUUAAACAGAAAUUGAAAAUGAAACUUAUUUUAUAUCACCUGCUUUAUUUUUCACUGACUAUGCAACCGUUUGAAUAUGGUUUCAAUCAAUCCUAGUUCGUUACAAAAUAAAUAAAGUCGAUGAAAGACAUUUAUGAAAUGUCUUGUUUGUUUUGAGUAGAAAGUAAAGUACUAAAGUUCAAAAAAAAAAAAAGUAAAGUACUAAUUAAAUCGGAAGUCGGUAAAGAACAUGAAAUCGACAAACAAAAAAGAUUGGUACAAAAAAAAAUUGGCUAAAAAU